rnacentral:rRNA from 1 species
AUGCAAGUCGAGGGGCAGCACGGUGUAGCGAUACACUGGUGGCGACCGGCGCACGGGUGAGUAACACGUGUGCAACCAACCCGUACCGGGAGAUAACCCGCAGAAACGUGGACUAACAUCCCAUGAUACUCGAGAGCCGCAUGGCUCUAGAUUUAAAAUUCCGGUGGUACGGGACGGGCACGCGCGACAUUAGGUAGUUGGCGGGGUAAGGGCCCACCAAGCCGACGAUGGAUAGGGGUUCUGAGAGGAAGGUCCCCACAUUGGAACUGAGACACGGUCCAAACUCC